rnacentral:rRNA from 1 species
UACGUAGGGUGCGAGCGUUAAUCGGCAUUACUGGGCGUAAAGGGUGCGUAGGCGGCUUUCUAAGUUGGAUGUGAAAACUAUGGGCUCAACCCAUAGCCUGCAUCCAAAACUGGAGAGCUUGGGUUCUGGAGGGGAAAGCGGAAUUCCUGGUGUAGCGGUGAAAUGCGUAGAUAUCAGGAGGAACACCGGUGGCGAAGGCGGCUUUCUGGACAGAUACCGACGCUGAGGCACGAAAGCUAGGGGAGCAAACAGG